rnacentral:rRNA from 1 species
UGCAGUCGAACGGCAGCACGGGGGCAACCCUGGUGGCGAGUGUCGAACGGGUGAGUAAUACAUCGGAACGUGUCCUGUAGUGGGGGAUAGCCCGGCGAAAGCCGGAUUAAUACCGCAUACGAUCUACGGAUGAAAGCGGGGGAUCUUCGGACCUCGCGCUGGAGGGGCGGCCGAUGGCAGAUUAGCUAGUUGGUGGGGUAAAGGCCCACCAAGGCGACGAUCUGUAGCUGGUCUGAGAGGACGACCAGCCACACUGGGACUGAGACACGGCCCAGACUCCUACGGGAGGCAGCAGUGGGGAAUUUUGGACAAUGGGGGCAACCCUGAUCCAGCAAUGCCGCGUGUGUGAAGAAGGCCUUCGGGUUGUAAAGCACUUUUGUCCGGAAAGAAAGCAUCCUGGUUAAUACCUGGGGUGGAUGACGGUACCGGAAGAAUAAGCACCGGCUAACUACGUGCCAGCAGCCGCGGUAAUACGUAGGGUGCGAGCGUUAAUCGGAAUUACUGGGCGUAAAGCGUGCGCAGGCGGUUCGCUAAGACCGAUGUGAAAUCCCCGGGCUUAACCUGGGAACUGCAUUGGUGACUGGCGGGCUAGAGUAUGGCAGAGGGGGGUAGAAUUCCACGUGUAGCAGUGAAAUGCGUAGAGAUGUGGAGGAAUACCGAUGGCGAAGGCAGCCCCCUGGGCCAAUACUGACGCUCAUGCACGAAAGCGUGGGGAGCAAACAGGAUUAGAUACCCUGGUAGUCCACGCCCUAAACGAUGUCAACUAGUUGUUGGGGAUUCAUUUCCUUAGUAACGUAGCUAACGCGUGAAGUUGACCGCCUGGGGAGUACGGUCGCAAGAUUAAACUCAAAGGAAUUGACGGGGACCGCACAAGCGGUGGAUGAAUGUGGAUUAAUUCGAUGCACCCGAAAACCUUACCUACCUUGACAUGGACGAAUCCUGGUG